AUUGAACGCUGGCGGAAUGCUUUACACAUGCAAGUCGGGCGGCAGCGCGGGGGCAACCCUGGCGGCGAGCGGCGAACGGGUGAGUAAUGCAUCGGAACGUACCCAGUCGUGGGGGAUAACUGUCCGAAAGGACAGCUAAUACCGCAUACGACCUGAGGGUGAAAGCGGGGGAUCGCAAGACCUCGCGCGAUUGGAGCGGCCGAUGUCGGAUUAGCUAGUUGGUGGGGUAAAGGCCCACCAAGGCGACGAUCUGUAGCUGGUCUGAGAGGACGACCAGCCACACUGGAACUGAGACACGAUCCAGACUCCUACGGGAGGCAGCAGGGGGGAAUUUUGGACAAUGGGGGCAACCCUGAUCCAGCCAUUCCGCGUGAGUGAAGAAGGCCUUCGGGUUGUAAAGCUCUUUCGGCAGGAACGAAACGGUCGUCGCUAAUACCGGUGGCUAAUGACGGUACCUGAAGAAGAAGCACCGGCUAACUACGUGCCAGCCGCCGCAGUAA
rnacentral:rRNA from 1 species